UACGUAGGGGGCUAGCGUUGCUCGGAAUUAUUGGGCGUAAAGCGCACGUAGGCGGCUUAGCAAGUCGGAAGUGAAAUCCCUCGGCUCAACCAAGGAAGUGCUUUCGAAACUGCUGAGCUUGAGUACUGAAGAGGAUCGCGGAAUUCCCGGUGUAGAGGUGAAAUUCGUAGAUAUCGGGAGGAACACCAGUGGCGAAGGCGGCGAUCUGGGAAGAUACUGACGCUGAGGUGCGAAAGCGUGGGGAGCAAACAGG
rnacentral:rRNA from 1 species